CAUUGCUUGUAGGACAGGCGUCCCUUAAGAUGCUGAUCGGAUCGAGAUCCUAUUGCGUCGCGCACCUCGUCGUUCGAGCAGCUUCGAGGUCCGCUGAGCAUUCCGGCUAUACUGCGAGAGACCAGCGAUGAUGAGUUCAUAUUGGGGUAUUUGGGGCGAUUUGCCCAAUCACCUCGUGCGUCUUGCGCUGGCAUUUCUGCG
rnacentral:misc_RNA from 1 species